UUCCGGAGUGUUAGUGAGUGAAAUGCGUUAGAUAUUUCGGGAGGAACACCCAGUGGCGAAAGCGGCUUUUCUGGCCCCAUUUUCUGACGCUCAGACGCGAAAGCUAGGGUAGUAAACGGGAUUAGAGACCCCGGUAAUCCUAGCCGUAAACUAUGUGAAACUUGGCGUUGGCGGGGUUUAAAUCCGUCAGUGCCGAAGCUAACGCGAUAAGUUCACCACCUGGGGACUACGGCCGCAAGGUUAAAACUCAAAGGAAUUGACGGGGCCCCGCACAAGCAGCGGAGCGUGUGGUUUAAUUCGAUGUUACACGAAGAACCUUACCAGGGUUUGACAUGCAAGUGGUAGUGAACCGAAAGGGGAACGACUCUUCGGAGAGCUUGCACAGGUGUUGCAUGGCUGUCGUCAGCUCGUGUCGUGAGAUGUUCGGUUAAGUCCGCUAACGAGCGCAACCCUCGCUGUGUGUUAUAUGUGUCACACGGGACCGCCGGUCUUAAGCCGGAGGAAGGUGGGGAUGACGUCAAGUCAGCAUGACCUUUAUAUCCUGGGCUACACACACGCUACAAUGGCCGAUACAAUAGGUUGCGAAACCGCGAGGUGGAGCCAAUCCUAAAAAGUCGGUCUCAGUUCAGAUCGCAGGCUGCAACUCGCCUACGUGAAGACGGAGUUGCUAGUAAACGCAGGUCAGCUAUACUGCGUUGAAUACGUUCCCGGGGCUUGUACACACCGCCCGUCACGUCAUGGGAGCUGGCAACACUUGAAGCCGGUAUCCUAACCCGCAAGGGAGGGAGCCGUCGAGGGUGGGGUCGGUGACCGGGUCGAAGUCGUAACAAGGUA
rnacentral:rRNA from 1 species